GGCAUGAGCCCUCCCGCCUGCCCCAUGGUAGAGAUUGCUUUCUGAGGUCUUCAGACGAUAAAGUGAAGGAGCAGACAGCAGCCCUGGGCCAAACCUUCAGAUGUCCCCUGGGUGCUGUGUCGGCUACAUCUCCUGAGCAGGGACAGGGACAGCAGAGCCCAUGCCUCACCAUGUGGCCAGGUCGCUGUGGGGUAGGUAAAGUGAUGACCCACCUACUGGAGUCAGAGGACAGGGAGCAGUGGAAGAUGGUGCCAGUACUUUAUGGAGAGCCACAUGCUCUGAGAUGCUUCUUCUAGUGGGAAGGAUUUGCAUCGUUUACAUUUGGAGGUUGCAAUUCUUUCCCAUGUAAGAUGAGGACAAUAAGCCCAAAGAGGAAUGUGAUGUGCCCAAGAUCCUAUUGCUACUAGUAGAUAUCGAUCCUGACUGCACACUGAAAUAACUGAGGUUUUUUUUGUUGUUUUAUUUUUUAUUUUUUAAAUUUUAUUGUUGGGGCGCCUGGGUGGCUCAGUUGGUUAAGCGACUGCCUUCGGCUCAGGUCAUGAUCCUGGAGUCCUGGGAUCGAGUCCCGCAUCGGGCUCCCUGCUCCGCGGGAAGCCUGCUUCUCCCUCUGCUCCUCUCUCUCUCCCUCUCUGUCUCUCAUGAAUAAAUAAAUAAAAUCUUUAAAAAAAAAAAAAAUUUUUAUUGUUGUUAGUCACCAUACAAUACAUCAUUAGUUUUUGAUGUAGUGUUCC